rnacentral:lncRNA from 1 species
AAUCAUCAGGUGGUGAAGCCAGCCUGACUUGUGUCCUUCCCUUCAUGGUGGUAAUUAUCCAGUUGAUAUUUAUCUUGUUCCAGUCACCUUUAGAAAGCUGUUUGCUCUCAAAUCUCCAGGCAGCCUCUAUUGAUUGAUCUGAGUUGGCAGAUGAGUUGGCAGGUUUUGGAAAUCACUAGUGGGUAAAAAAGACCAAUUUGCAACUAGGCUCUCAUGCUCUGUUGAAAACUAUGUCACAAUAUCACAAUACUAGAUGCUGGGCUCAAGACAGCAAACAGAAAGCAGCAAGGGCAGUGACUGGAAGCUGGGAGAGAGGGUCAACAGCUGAAUCUCAGCCUGAUGGAGGCCAC